rnacentral:rRNA from 1 species
GACGAACGCUGGCGGCGUGCUUAACACAUGCAAGUCGAACGGAAAGGCCCUGCUUUUGUGGGGUGCUCGAGUGGCGAACGGGUGAGUAACACGUGAGUAACCUGCCCUUGACUUUGGGAUAACUUCAGGAAACUGGGGCUAAUACCGGAUAGGAGCUCCUGCUGCAUGGUGGGGGUUGGAAAGUUUCGGCGGUUGGGGAUGGACUCGCGGCUUAUCAGCUUGUUGGUGGGGUAGUGGCUUACCAAGGCUUUGACGGGUAGCCGGCCUGGGAGGGUGACCGGCCACCUUGGGACUGAGAGACGGACCAGACUGCUACGGGAGGCAGCAGUGGGGAAUAUUGCACAAUGGGCGGAAGCCUGAUGCAGCAGCGCCGCGUGCGGAAUGACGGCCUUCGGGUUGUAAACCGCUGUCGCCUGUGACGAAGCGUGAGUGACGGUAAUGGGUAAAGAAGCACCGGCUAACUACGUG